rnacentral:lncRNA from 1 species
CAUACAUAGCUUCUCGUGGUAAAUGUAUAGCCAAAUGUACCAUAAUAUAAAAAAAACAGGUGGAAAGAUCAUCUCAAGCUUACAUAAUAUAAUAACUAUAUCCCUUUCAAGUUGUUCUAAGUCAUCUCGUUUCAAUGUCUUACAACACAAUCGUUGAAAGAAAUGACCUAACUCAAUCAAUGCUAAAGAGACAUCUUUAUUUCCAAAUCCACGAAUAGCUAUAGGUAGCAAUCGUUGUAGCAAAACAUGAUAAUCAUGACU